AGCCUUUUCGUGAUUUUUGCUA
rnacentral:snRNA from 1 species